AUGUACCAGCAAACUAGAUUUAACCGAGUGUUCCCUCUCCGUUCUAGCUUUCUAAAUAAGUCAGAUCGGUGCCCUUUAUCCGGGAAGACUCCUAAAUCAGUUAACUGGAGACAAGGAACCACAGCCCCUUCGGGUAGGGCAUAGGUGGCUACGGCGGAAAAACCCUGGAUCUACAAGACUUACUUCACGCUCUCUAGAAGCUCACUGCAGAGGAAGAGCGGAAGGGAAUACUGAACCACGCCUCGAGUCCCAAUCUCCUAGUGGUGGGAUGGUAAAGGGCAAUGUCCGGUUCUGGCCAAGAGAUGUCUUUGCUCCGUCCCCCUUCUUGUUGGUUGGCACAAGCCCUUGUAGUAGUCAGCCUUUCCUCCCCGACGGUCUACACCAGGGCAUAUUCGAAUGCCCCGCCGCCAGCAUCGCUCUUCUCUUCGAACAGAAGCAACUCUGUAGGGAGGAGAGCCUGCCGAUCGAGUGAAGGGAUCCAUACGGCUUUCAGGGGGAGCUGCUUUUACAGCCUACUGGUAUUUAA